GAAAUGGGCCGCACACAAGCUGUCAGCGGUGCAGUCGUCCUAAUGCUGGUCUCCUUGAUUGCAGCAUCAACAGGAGAAUGGCUUCCGCCGGCAUUUUCACAGGACUACAUCACAUUUUACUGGGACACCACGGGCUUCAAUGAAACGGAAGAUGGAAAAUUUCGAAAAUUUGUGGUUCAGCUGUAUAAGACAAAGAACAACAGCUGUGAUGAUGUGAUUCACCCUCCGAUGGUAGAAGAAAUCCCUGUGUACUACCUACAGGAGGCCACCUUUACACGUCUGAAUCUUAGUCACUUGUACUGCAGGUAAU